UACAGAGGGGGCAAGCGUUGUUCGGAAUUACUGGGCGUAAAGGGCGCGUAGGCGGCCUGUUAAGUCGAACGUGAAAUCCCCCGGGCUCAACCCGGGAACUGCGUCCGAUACUGGCAGGCUUGAAUCCGGGAGAGGGAUGCGGAAUUCCAGGUGUAGCGGUGAAAUGCGUAGAUAUCUGGAGGAAUACCGGUGGCGAAGGCGACAUCCUGGACCGGUAUUGACGCUGAGGCGCGAAAGCCAGGGGAGCAAACGGG
rnacentral:rRNA from 1 species